rnacentral:rRNA from 2 species
UUAAAUUGAAGAGUUUGAUCAUGGCUCAGAUUGAACGCUGGCGGCAGGCCUAACACAUGCAAGUCGAACGGUAACAGGAAGCAGCUUGCUGCUUUGCUGACGAGUGGCGGACGGGUGAGUAAUGUCUGGGAAACUGCCUGAUGGAGGGGGAUAACUACUGGAAACGGUGGCUAAUACCGCAUAAUGUCGCAAGACCAAAGAGGGGGACCUUCGGGCCUCUUGCCAUCAGAUGUGCCCAGAUGGGAUUAGCUUGUUGGUGAGGUAACGGCUCACCAAGGCGACGAUCCCUAGCUGGUCUGAGAGGAUGACCAGCCACACUGGAACUGAGACACGGUCCAGACUCCUACGGGAGGCAGCAGUGGGGAAUAUUGCACAAUGGGCGCAAGCCUGAUGCAGCCAUGCCGCGUGUAUGAAGAAGGCCUUCGGGUUGUAAAGUACUUUCAGCGGGGAGGAAGGUGUUGUGGUUAAUAACCGCAGCAAUUGACGUUACCCGCAGAAGAAGCACCGGCUAACUCCGUGCCAGCAGCCGCGGUAAUACGGAGGGUGCAAGCGUUAAUCGGAAUUACUGGGCGUAAAGCGCACGCAGGCGGUCUGUCAAGUCGGAUGUGAAAUCCCCGGGCUCAACCUGGGAACUGCAUUCGAAACUGGCAGGCUUGAGUCUUGUAGAGGGGGGUAGAAUUCCAGGUGUAGCGGUGAAAUGCGUAGAGAUCUGGAGGAAUACCGGUGGCGAAGGCGGCCCCCUGGACAAAGACUGACGCUCAGGUGCGAAAGCGUGGGGAGCAAACAGGAUUAGAUACCCUGGUAGUCCACGCCGUAAACGAUGUCUACUUGGAGGUUGUGCCCUUGAGGCGUGGCUUCCGGAGCUAACGCGUUAAGUAGACCGCCUGGGGAGUACGGCCGCAAGGUUAAAACUCAAAUGAAUUGACGGGGGCCCGCACAAGCGGUGGAGCAUGUGGUUUAAUUCGAUGCAACGCGAAGAACCUUACCUGGUCUUGACAUCCACAGAACUUUCCAGAGAUGGAUUGGUGCCUUCGGGAACUGUGAGACAGGUGCUGCAUGGCUGUCGUCAGCUCGUGUUGUGAAAUGUUGGGUUAAGUCCCGCAACGAGCGCAACCCUUAUCCUUUGUUGCCAGCGGUCCGGCCGGGAACUCAAAGGAGACUGCCAGUGAUAAACUGGAGGAAGGUGGGGAUGACGUCAAGUCAUCAUGGCCCUUACGACCAGGGCUACACACGUGCUACAAUGGCGCAUACAAAGAGAAGCGACCUCGCGAGAGCAAGCGGACCUCAUAAAGUGCGUCGUAGUCCGGAUUGGAGUCUGCAACUCGACUCCAUGAAGUCGGAAUCGCUAGUAAUCGUGGAUCAGAAUGCCACGGUGAAUACGUUCCCGGGCCUUGUACACACCGCCCGUCACACCAUGGGAGUGGGUUGCAAAAGAAGUAGGUAGCUUAACCUUCGGGAGGGCGCUUACCACUUUGUGAUUCAUGACUGGGGUGAAGUCGUAACAAGGUAACCGUAGGGGAACCUGCGGUUGGAUCACCUCCUUACCUUAAAGAA